AAGGAAGGAAGGAAGAGAAAGGAAAGGAAAAGAAAGAAGAAAAGAAACAAAACAAAACAAAACCCUUCUCAAUAAUAUUGUAAUAAGAGAACAAAAGGGGAAAGUUUGGAGACUUCAGUUACAGCCUUGGUCCCUGCUGUUGGAGCGUUUCCUUUUUCCUUCUUCUUUUCUUGUAUUCACUCCAAGCAUUACUUUUACAAACGGGUUUGGUAACCAAGGCCACUACCCCCUCAAGAGGUUUCCAAAACACGCCCUCUCUCCUUUUCUUGCCUUUUUCCUUUCCUUGCUUUCUCUCUCCUUUUAGCUUAGGCUCCUGUUUGAUGAAUUCUUUUCCCUGUCUUAAAACUAUAAUCUCUCUCUCUCUCUCUCUCUCUCUCUCUCUCUCUCUCUCUCUCUCUCUCUCUCUCUCUCUCUCUCCACUUCCUCCCUUCUUCCUCUCAGUUCCUGACAGUUCAGAUGAAGCUCUCAAAGCGCGGUUGGGGUACCCUUGACAGGAGCCGCAGUCACCGACUGCGAGCUAAUAACUAGCGCCGGCUCAAGGAAAGGCUUUGGAGAGGGUUGGAGGAGAAUGGGUGACAACAGAUGCAGUGCGACCGAGAAAUAAGAGUGAAGUUCAUGUGCUGUCCAUUCCCCACCACCACCACCAGCUCCAUCCUUUCUUCAUGUUUUUAUACUCUUCUUCUCAUAUACCUCAGAGGUUGAGAAAGAGAAAAAGGAGAUGAAGGAAGAGGAGGAGGAAGAAGAACAAGAAUGAG